ensembl:lncRNA
CAAUAUUUUAUGCUUUCGAAAAUGCUUUACUUAAAUUUAAGUGACAUUUAGAGUGACAAUGUGCUGCCCGUAUUCAGCUGUAGUUAAAAAAAGAGGCCAGUUUCUAAGAUUUGACCCAGCUGAAGAAAUGCAGUGACCAAGACGAAUACACCGUCUUACGCGAAAUCACUGUUUCGGUUCAAUAUCAAAUUCCAGUCACGGUGGUUCGCCCUGUUGCAAUAACACGGACAAUUAUUCUAAUUAUAUAACUCAUUACUAAUUGUGCAUGCAGUUUCUAAACUGUGCUCCACAAUUAGCGUUUAGCCCAAAAUAUGAAACGCAUUUCGUUAACUCAGCAAUGGCAAACACUCCCUUUAAACGAAUCUUUUGUAACUAAGGGACCUUUAAACAUCCUAAACGACGUGACGAACAGCUGUGUGGGGGGUGGGGGCUCUGACAUCACCGCCCAUAUUGUCCCAACGUCACUUCCGUGAGAUGUGCCGCGGUUGCCCCGGUAACCAAAUUGCGCAGCCAAACAGUAGUAUCCGCGUCCUUUGCUCUUUCAUGUGGCACUGUGCACUUUUUUGAAGGAAAAAAAAAAAAAAAAUCUUCUCGCUUUGUUUUUUACAACGAGUUCUAAUAACAUUCCACACGUUUGAUAGAAUGAUCUAUCAUGUGUUUUGUGUUGUACUUAUGUGUUCCAUAGGUACGAAAGGGUCAUAAUUGUGUUUCCCCUGGAACGCGCAGCGGAGACAUGUGGCCUCUGUGAGUGGUGAUCGCUCGGGCUGUUUGUGUAAGACUGUCCCCGCCGUCCGUCCCGUCCUACACAUCGCGGCGCCAUGAGCGUUUUCACACCGGCGCUUUCGGCUCCGCCCGAUGAUGAUGAUGAGAGAAGCGUGGAGGCGGAUGCGGGACGGUACCGAGCGGACAGAGUGUCCGUGGCCGCCCUCCUGCGCAUCAGCGAAGAAAGCGGCGUCACGGAGGAGGGUCCCUACGAGUGGAGCGUCGAGUCCGGCUGGGACGAGGCGAUUCAAGGCUGGGCUCAGUGUCCACCCCUUUCGUGCCUGUUCCACACCCAGAGGAAGGGUAAAAAAUGCAAGACUGAAGAGAAAGACUUCCAUUGUCUUCUUUGCAUCGACGCGAUGCUCAUGGAGCGCCCCGACUCCGAGCACCUGGGGGAUACAGCAGCAAAGAGUUUCAAAAGUAAUCCCAGCCCCACCGAGGACCCCCGGCCAAAAGGCUUUACGGCCUCCGCUCUAUUAGCGAGAAAAGGUUCUAGCCAGCACGUGGGAUUUGGCUAUCGAGAGACAGAGGAGCAGAUCUUGGGAGCCUCGGAAAACGCAGGAGAGCAGGUCGACUCGCUGUACAGAACGGCAGAGGGGGGUCAGCUGCACCUGCUUGAAGAAACUCCACUUCAGAUGUACAACGUGGCCACCCAGUGGCCCUUGGAGCCCCAGCACACCGGAGAAGAGUGAGACCGCCUUUGGCCGAGCUACCUCUCACAGGCUGGCAGCAGAGGCCGGGCCGCCAGCGACGGGGGAGAAGGCCGGUGCCGAGAGAAGCCAGGAAAUCACAGCAGACAUGCUUGCAGGGACUGCAGCCUCGGAGAAUGGCACUCGACCCCUUCCUUGCAGCUGGCCCCUGCACCCUGGUAGGAACUUGCUGACCACCUUCAGUGUGUGUGUCCCCAAGGGUGAAGAACCACCCUUCAGCUCUCUUGUGGGCACAGUGCCACGGGUGAUCUACCCCUUUGGAAGAUACGUCAAGCAAGAGGACCUGAGCACAGUGGCCGGUGGCAACGGCCAGAGCCAAAAAUUUUACGGUGGACUCAAAUCGAAAACCAUGAAACGACCAGAGCCACAGCUGCCUCUACUGUUUGGCACCAGGGUUGCAAUACAAGCGUCUAGUCACCGCCUACUGUGAAUACUCAUGAGUGUGUGCGCGCGUGUGUGUGUGUGUGUGUGUGUGUGCUCGUUCAGCACUAGGCUGUAUGGUCAAUGUCCAGUUCUUCAUUGACUUCUGAUUAAAGUGGGGAUUUUUUUGAAAACAUACACAAAUAUUAGUAUUACUACAGCCAUCGAAACUUGGCACAAUAGGGCACAGGGACCAGAAUAAAGGGUGCAAAUCAUUUAACA